rnacentral:rRNA from 1 species
AUACGGAGGGUGCAAGCGUUAUUCGGAAUCACUGGGCGUAAAGGACGCGUAGGCGGGUUGGCAAGUCAGAUGUGAAAUCCUACAGCUUAACUGUAGAACUGCAUUUGAAACUGCUAACCUAGAGUAUGGGAGGGGGAGAUGGAAUUAGUGGUGUAGGGGUAAAAUCCGUAGAUAUCACUAGGAAUACCGAAAGCGAAGGCGAUCUCAUGGAACAUAACUGACGCUAAGGCGUGAAAGCGUGGGGAGCAAACAGGAUUAGAUACCCUAGUAGUCC